UUAUUUUUAGGGGGGGCAAACUAGGAAAAUAUUUCUAGUUUUAUGAGGGGCGUAUUAUAAAUCUAUUCUUUGCAGGGGAGGGGCGGAGCUCCCACCAGCCCCCCCGUCCCCGCCACUAUUGUCAACCCUACUUCGCUGUAGGUUAUAAACUAAGCUCGGCGGAUCUAAAGUGGAGUCUCGCUGGAAAGUCAAAAAGCAGAGAUGAAAAGGUCUUACAGGUGCCAAUAUGGGAGGGAAGGGAGGUGCAUCCCUAACCUGGGUUCGAUCUAAGAAUUCCAAUCACCCACUCCAAAACCACUAGGCAUAAGAUGCGCUCUUAGCCUCGUGACUUUCCUUCCUCUAGUAAGGAAAAGAACACAGGAGGCCAUGAAAGUGACCUUUCUACGAAUGCUUGUUGACCAUUGUUGAGAUCACAUAAAGUUUCAAAGACAAGGUUGGAAAACAAAGGAGGGAAGUGGGGAUAGAAAGAUGGAGGGGAAAUCUCAGAUUUGGAAGCCGUCCAAGUAAGAGUUUUGUGGAACCAAAGCUCCACUAAUAAGUUGUAUGGUCCAAAGAAAAAGGAAAAUGGACCAAUAUGGCUGUGAAAAUGAGAUAAAAUGGGAGAUGGGAGAGAGAUUUGAGGCCUCCAUUUCAAUUACUUUUUGUCAUGCAUGAGUGCUAACUUUUGUGUUUUAGCAUAAAAGAAAGGGAAAUCAAGGACCGCGUUUUUAUAACGCAGACAAAGACAUGCCUAAAGAGAGAGAAACAAUGGAGGAAACUUGGAGAGAUUGGAUGGGAGAAGAUAUGGUGGCAAAGCAUCUACAAAAGACAAGCAAAAGGUUGUGUCAUGUGUGACAACAACCUGAGCUUUUCUUGCGUACGCAUAGCAAUCAAGCCAUGUCUCUUUUCUCCUUCUUGUACUUUAGCCAUUCUGCCACUUAUUGUUCUAUUUUGGCUUCAUUGUCAUGAUUAUAUGUUUAAUUUAGUCUUAUGGUUUGCAAGCUGUGCAAUGCAGAGGCAAUGAGGCGUGACUUUCACAAAAGCCUCAGCCAUUUAGUUGUCUAACCAAACGUUAUCGUCUCAGGUUAGAACGGAAUUUGAGAGCCAAUAUCUGCAGCGGGCUGCUCAGAGUCCAUUGACUCUGAAACCUGCUUGCAUCCUGGCAAGAAAAGGAGGAGUGUUGAUUAUUUCCAUUUGCUUAUUUAAUGCAUGUUUACUGCGAUUCUUAGAAUGGUUUGUUAAAUGUGGGCACGGUUGCUCUGUUUAACCAGGGACACCAAUAUUGGGUUUAGAAAUUGAAUAAGGUUUUUAUUUGGUAAAGAAAAAGAAGGAAAGAUGACAGGUUUGCAGCUUAGUACUAAAGUUUCUGAUUGCUAGGUUGGUGGAAGAAAACUGCAGACAUGGUUGGCCAAGCAGAGCGUUGAUUGAGGGUGACCCACUCUCCAUUUCCUUGCUCAACAUGAUCAUAGGAGGAGAGCCAAUUUCCAGUUCAUGAGCCCAUCCAUCUUGUCCAAACCAAACCCUCACUCCUAGGAGGCUUCCUGAUCACAAAAGCAUUUUGGCACAUGAAAUUGAAAAGUGAUGGAUGAUUACACUUUACACGAGAAAAUGUGUUUUAGAGCUUCAAAAAUAAAGCUGGAAUUGCUAGCUGGCGACUUGUGUGUCUAGAGUUUUGUCUCUCAAUCUCUUCCUAGUGCAUAACAUGUGGAAUCUGUAUUGUUUACUAGAUAUGAGCUGA